rnacentral:rRNA from 1 species
CCAGACUCCUACGGGAGGCAGCAGUGGGGAAUAUUGCGCAAUGGGGGAAACCCUGACGCAGCAACGCCGCGUGCAGGAAGAAGGUCUUCGGAUUGUAAACUGUUGUCGCAGGGGAAGAAGACAGUGACGGUACCCUGUGAGAAAGUCACGGCUAACUACGUGCCAGCAGCCGCGGUAAUACGUAGGUGACAAGCGUUGUCCGGAUUUACUGGGUGUAAAGGGCGCGUAGACGGCAGUGUAAGUCUGAAGUGAAAGCCCCGGGCUUAACCCGGGAACUGCUUUGGAAACUGUACGGCUGGAGUGCUGGAGAGGUAAGCGGAAUUCCUAGUGUAGCGGUGAAAUGCGUAGAUAUUAGGAGGAACACCAGUGGCGAAGGCGGCUUACUGGACAGUAACUGACGUUGAGGCUCGAAAGCGUGGGGAGCAAACAGGAUUAGAUACCCCGGUACC